rnacentral:tRNA from 2 species
GCCCGGGUAGCUCAGUCGGUAGAGCAAGCGAUUGAAAAUCGCUGUGUCGGCAGUUCGAUUCUGUCCCCGGGCACCA